GGAUAGCUCAGUCGGGGCAGCAUGGGACUCUUGAUCUUACGGCCAUGGGUUUGAGCCCCACAAUGAACG